ACCGUGGGCCUUCGGGCCCGCGUAUAUUUACUCUGAAUGUGUAUAGAAUGUAAACCGUUCGUUUGCCCUGAAAAAGCAAACGAAAAAAAGUACAACUUUCAACAACGGAUCUCUUGGCUCUCGCAUCGAUGAAGAACGCAGCGAAAUGCGAUAAGUAAUGUGAAUUGCAGAUUUUCAGUGAAUCAUCGAAUCUUUGAACGCACCUUGCGCCCCUUGGUAUUCCGAGGGGCAUGCCUGUUUGAGUGUCAUUAAAUCCUCAACCGCGCCGAUCGAUUUCGGUGGGGCUUGGACUUUGGAGCGUGCUGGCGAAGGUCGGCUCCUCUUUAAAUGCAUCAGCGGAAGAAACCUUUGUCUUUCCUGCCCUUCGGUGUGAUAAUCGUGUUGCGCCGCGGUGGAACUUCAACGAUCCGCUUACAAUGGUCUUCGGACGAAUACCUCAUGUCAUCUUGACCUCAAAUCAGGUAGGACUACCCGCUGAACUUAAGCAUA
rnacentral:misc_RNA from 1 species